rnacentral:rRNA from 1 species
UACGAAGGGGGCUAGCGUUGCUCGGAAUCACUGGGCGUAAAGCGCACGUAGGCGGGUCCUUAAGUCGGUGGUGAAAUCCCGGAGCUCAACUCCGGAACUGCCUUCGAUACUGGGGACCUCGAGUCCGGGAGAGGUGAGUGGAACUGCGAGUGUAGAGGUGAAAUUCGUAGAUAUUCGCAAGAACACCAGUGGCGAAGGCGGCUCACUGGCCCGGUACUGACGCUGAGGUGCGAAAGCGUGGGGAGCAAACAGG